GGUCAACCCUUUGCUGGGUGAACCAGGGAAUGGGCGCCACAAAACCAGCAUCCCACGUGCCAGAAAUUUUUUUAGCGCAUGGGGUUUAUCUUGUGCGCAAAUAUCAAGUUGGCGUCCUAUGGGAUGGGAUGCCCCUUUUCUCAUCCUUAUCCUUUUGUUCCAUGGUGAAAAAAAUUCACAAAGGUUUGUGAUCUGAUUUUAGGCACAGAAGAGUUCUUCUGUGGCUAAAUCACUUCAUGAAUUAGCGUUGGAAAUUGGAUAAAGAUCAAGCCCUAGCCAAACCUAAUCCAUGCGCCACUUAGAGUCCAGAUUGUUUUGGUCUCUUAAAAAUGUUACACGCCAUUUUUUAUCUCUGAUUUUUCUCCAUGCCUAAAGCAAGUUAGUGCCUCCCUUGUGGGCCCUUGGGUGGCCAGAGUGCGCUGAUCAAGGGUGGGGAAAAAUGCAGCCCAAGAGAAGCCUCGCGACGUCUCGAAAAACAUAAAAAAAAUUUCUCUGAAGAGUCUUUCUGUGCGAAGCAACUCUUGGACUUUUUCUCGAUAUUUACCACAUGUCACAAGGUUUCCGGAUGGGCGUGUGAAAUUGGUUGGAGGCGUGAGAAUUUUUGGUUGGGCACGAGUUGUCGCGUGGAGAGGGCGCGAGAUGUUUCUGAUGGCAUCUCGUCGCUAAGUAUAAAAAGGGUCCUGUGCCGGGACUCUGAUUCAUUCAGAUUUAUAUUCUUAUCUCUUCUUUUUUACACCUUUCUUCCUUUUGUCCAAUUAUUUUCUUCCUUUCUUUGUUAGGAUGAGUCCAAAAAUAGUAAGGACAAGUUCGAUUUUAGGACAAGGGCCUAGGAAGAGAUAUAAGGAAGAUAAGGAGAUAAGAAAGGUAGAGAUAGGAAGGCUAGGAGGAGAGAAAGGAAGCCCUAAGGUUCUGCUGUCCAAAGAAAUUCUCGAAGAGAGAAUUUUGGAGGAGGAAUCAUCUUAAAGAGUUGGUGUCUCGAUCAAAAUUCUGUGUGGAUCAUCGUUGGAGGGUGAACACUUAGGCGUCUGGUGGAGGUUCUGUCAGAGUUUUGGAAUAAGCGUUGAGGUAUUCUUCUACAUCUUUAAUUUUGUUAUGAAAAUAUUUUAUAUGAUUGUUAAUCAUCGAAGAGGUGCUGGUUUAAGGGUUUAAUAUUUAGGAUUUCUUAGUUUAAAUUUUUGAAAUCCAUUAUGCUUUCGCUGUGCAUGUUGUCUGUGAAAUCCUACAGUGGUAUCAGAGCUGGCCUUAUUUGGUUCAAUCAUAUGUAGAUAAUGUUCAUGUGAUGCAUACUAUGAUUCAUACUAUAAAAUUAAUUAUGCUAUGAAUUAUGCUUUCAUAUGUUUGAUAUGAAUUGAUGCAUGUCUGGUCCACUUCAUCAUUCUGAAAUAAGGUUGUCCUAGCAUUACGGGACUGUGUUGCAAGAUUGUCCUAGAAUGAUGAAUGUUCAUAUGUCACACUGGCACAUAUAAAAUGGUUAAUGCUGAUAUAUAUUAGUGUGCAUUAGCAUUAUGAAAUUAGAAUGUGCAUGAGACCAAUGAAGCCCUCAUAAAAUUAUAUUUAGUAGUAGUGAUAGCAACUAUGGGUUAACCAAUUAUAUAUCAAUUGAUCAAUUGAUGUUUAAAAAAGUGCUAAAGGUGAUUUUUUAAUUGGUUCCGUUGAUUGAUCUGGCCAAUUUGUUGGUGUCUAAGGAAAGCAACGGGGGGACUCCCAUCUACUUACCUAAUCAAUUUGGUUAAGCGAUCCUAAAAUUGAAAAACCCUAAUGUUGAAAAUACUACUAGGGGUCUUCCUUCAUGCUAGAUUAAUGUUACAUCAUGAACUAUGGUAAGUUUGUUGUGUUACCAUAAGGCUUGCCAUAGGGGUUGAUAUAACAUAAUCCUGGUGCAUAGAAGAUGCUCACGGCAAUUUUGGGUAUACUGAUUUGUUGUGUUACCACAAGGGCAGUAAUAUUCGAAUUUGACUGUAUUGAAAUGAAGGAUCUUACUUAACUAAAAUAUUAUAGCUUGUUGUGUUACUACAAUGCUAAUAAUGUUUUAGAGGCUAAGAUAAAAUUGGGAAUUGCAUGAGAUGCAAUUAGGAAGAGUUCCUACCUAUGAACUCAUAACGGUUUGUUGUGUUACCGCAAGAUCAUUAUGAGGAAUUAGGGUCUCAAUCCUACUAAGAUAAAUAUACAAUAUCUCUCGUUUAUCAUAGUAGAGGGUUAUGAUGUUCGAUAAAAUAGUGGGAGACACAAUUAAAUCUAAAAGAUCUUAUUUAAUUGUGUAAGUCAUCAUGGGUUGUUUGCUUAUGUUAUGUUCUUUAUUUAUUGUAGAUUAAAUUCUACAAAUGGCAUUUUCAUUAUCAUUGUGAGGAAUUUUAGAUUCCAACAAAUUGAUCGGUCCCAAUUACGUGGAUUGGUCGAGGAAUUUAAAAAUUGUACUCACUUAGGAGAAACUCUCUUACAUUCUUGAUGUCUCUGAACCACAAGAGGUUGGGGACGAUGCCAUGGAGGAAAAGGUAUCCACAUACAGGGUGUGGAAGAAUGACAGUUUAACUAUCAAAUGCAUCAUACUGGCCUUUAUGAGCAAUGAAUUAUAGAAGCAGUAUGAAAGCAUGGAUACCUAAUCCAUACUUCUCAAUCUUAAGGAGCUAUAUGGAGAACAGAGUAGAACUGCUAGGUAUGAGAUAUCUAAGCAGUUAUUUCGUGCUAGAAUGACAGAAGAGUCAUCCGUACAAGACCAUGUCCUUAAGAUCAUUGACUUGGUCACUAGAUUGGGUCAAUUGGAUUUUGUGAUGGAUGAAGAAUUGAGUCAGGAUUUGAUCUUGCAAUCUCUUUCUGAAUCAUUCGCGUUGUUUGUUGUGAAUUAUCACAUGAACAAACUGAAUACCUCUUUGCUUGAGCUGUUAAACAUACUCAAAACUGCUGAGAGCCACAUUAAAAAGAAAAAGGCUCCAUUUCUUGUAGGUAAAAUCUCUAAGAAAAAAAUCAGGCAUUAAGGGUUCAAAGAAAGGAUUGAACCUUAAAGAUGGCAAGAUGAAGAGGAAAGGGAAGAAAGCUUUCGGACAAGGUACUUUCACUGCGGCAAGGCAGGAUACUGGAAAAAGAAUUGCAAAUCUUAUCUUGCAACUAUAAAGAUUGGUGCCAGCGAUGCACCAAAAGAUAUGUAUGAGAUACAUACAAUUUUGUCAUUAAGUUCUAAUUCAGACUCUCAGAUAUUGGAUACUAUCUGCGGUUCUCAUAUAUACAUGUCAUUGCAGGGACUGCAGAACAUUAGAGUAUUGAAGAAGGUUGACUUCGAGCUCUACGGUGCUGGAGGAGAGUCCAUUCAGGCAGAAGCUGUGGGGACAUAUAUCUUGAAGUUACCUUCUGAAAAGAUCUUAGAGCUGGAAAACUGUUACUAUAUGCCUAAGAUCAUGAGAAAUAUUAUUUAUGUACCGUUGCUAUUGCAACGGGGUUUUGAAAUAAAUGAAAAAAGUAAUAAUUGCUUAAUUUUUUUUCUAAUGAAAUUUUCUAUAAUGGCAUUGUGAAUAAUGGUCUUCUGAUUCUAUCUCCUAAUGACUAUUUUUCAUAUAGAUGAAAGCAAAAAACAAAAGAGAGAAGAUAUAAAUAAUAUUUUACUUUGGCAUUGUCGACUUGGUAAUAUAAGUGAGACGAGAAUUAACAAGUUAUAAAAAGAAGAAUUUUUUUUAUCCUUAUGAUUAUGAAUCAUUAGAAACUUGUGAAUCUUGUCUUGUGGGUAAAAUGACCAAGACUCCAUUAGUAUACUGAUGUUUGUGGGCCUAUGACAACUGAAGCCAGAGGAGGAUACUCUUAUUUUAUUACGUUNNNNNNNNNNNNNNNNNNNNUUUCGAUCUGAUCGAGGAGUAAUACUUAUUCAGUAAAUUUCUAAAUCAUCUUAAAAAAAAAAAUUUUCUCAGAGUGGAUCCCUUCUUAUACAUAGUUAAAUAGUGUAGCAGAAAGAAGAAAUCAUACUUUAUUAGAUAUGGUGCGAUCCAUGAUGUAUCUUGCAGACUUAUCUAUUUUUUUUGGAGAUAUGUCCUAAAGACUGUUGUCUAUAUCCUGAACAGAGUACUUUCAAAAUCUGUGCCAAGCACUCUAUAUGAGAUAUGGAGAAGUACAAAGCCUAAUCUUAAGUAUCUUAAGAUUUGAGGCUGUCCAAUUUAUGUUAAAAAAAACUUUGGACAUAAGCUGAGUGCUAGAGCAGAUAAAUGCUUAUUUGUAGGUUAUCCUAAAGAGAGAAUGGGAUACUUCUUUUACCACUUUACUGAACAAAAAAUUUUUGUCAGUAAGCACGCCACUUUUAUGGAAAAGGAGUUUAUCCUAGAAAGAGACAGUAGAAAGAAAAUUAAACUUGGUGAGGUUCAAGAUCUACAAAUAGAAGUAUAAGAUAUUUCUCAACCAGAAGUACCCAUUGAUAAGGUGCAACCACAAAAUAUACCUCCUCUCCGAAGGUCGGAUAGAGUGCGAAAUGCACCUCUAAGAUAUGGGUUCAUUAUUGAGAAUAAUGAAGCCCACAUCAUCGAGAAUGAUGAACCUUUAACCUAUACAGAAGCUGUCAUGAGUAGGGACUCAGACAAAUGGCUAGAGGCUAUGAAAUUCAAAAUGGACUCAAUGUACUCUAACCAAGUAUGAAUUUUGGUUAAUGCACCAGAGGAUGUGACCCCUAUUGGAUGCAAAUGGGUCUAUAAGAAAAAGAUUGAAGCAGAUGGUCAAGUUGAAACCUAUAAAGUCAGAUUGGUGGCUAAAGGUUUUAGGCAAAAAUAGGGUAUUAAUUAUGAUGAAACGUUCUCAGCUGUUGUCAUGCUCAAAUCUAUACGGAUUUUGCUUGCUAUAGCAGCAUAUCAUGAUUAUGAAAUUUGGUAAAUGAACGUGAAGACCGCCUUCCUUAAUGGUUAUCUUGAGGAAGAGAUUUACAUAUUUCAGUCAAAAGGAUGUCUCAAAAGAGAUAACAAAAUAGGUAUGCAAUCUUAAGAAAUUCAUUUAUGGAUUAAAGCAAGCCUUGAGGAGUUGGAACAUAUGCUUUGAUGUUACAAUCAAAGAGUUUGGCUUUAUCAAAAAUGUGGAUGAACCUUAUGUGUACAAGAAGACUAGUGGGAGUGUCAUUGUUUUCUUAGUUUUAUAUGUGGAUGACAUACUUCUCAUUGGGAAUGAUAUCCCAAUGUUACAAUCGGUCAAAACAUGGCUAUCAAGUAAGUUUUUCAUGAAGGACUUGGGCGAACCAUCCUAUAUACUAGGUAUAAAGAUCUAUAGGGAUAGAUUUAAGAGGAUGUUAGGCUUGUUCCAAUCCAGGUACAUAAACCUUAUGCUAAAAUGGUUCAGCAUGGAUGGGAGUAAAAGAGGUUACUUACCCAUGAGUCAAGGCAUACAUCUCUUUAAAAGGAUGUCUCUUAAAACACCGGAAGAGAGAAAUAGAAUGAGUUCUAUUCUCUAUGCUUCGACAGUAGGGUCAAUCAUGUAUGCUGUGCUAUAUACCAGGCCUGAUAUUGCCUAUGUGUUAGGUAUAGUUAGUAGAUUUCAGGCUGAUCCAGGUGAGGAUCAUUGAAAAGCAGUGAAAAAUAUUUUUAAGUACUUGAGAAGGACUAAAAAUAUUUUUCUGAUAUAUGGAGGAUUUGAUCUAAAAUUAGAAGGUUAUUCUGACUCUAAUUUUCAGUCAGAUGCUGAUGAUAGCAAGUCCACUUCAGGAUAUGUCUUUACUCUAAAUGGAGUAAUAAGUUGAAAAAAUUUCAAGCAGCAGACUGUAGCUGACUCAACCACUGAGGCAGAGUACAUAGCUGUAAGUGAAGCCGUCAAAAAAACUGUCUGGAUGAAGAAGUUCAUCACUGAUUUGGGUGUCGUUCUUGAGAUUGAGAAUCCAGUAUCACUUUAUUGUGAUAAUAUUGAAGUCGUUGCUUAAGCAAAAGAACUAAGGUCUCAUCAUAAAUCUAAGCACAUUCUAAGGUGCUUUCAUUUCGUUCGUGAAAUAGUCGAAAGACAAGAUGUAGUCAUUGAACGAGUAGACACAAAAAACAACAUAGCGGAUCCGUUCACAAGACUACCACAGAAGCAAUUCGAUCGCCACCUCGAUUGUAUGGGGAUAAAAUAUAUGGACGAUUGGCUUUAGCGCAAGUGGGAGAUUGAAAGGAAUAUGUCCUACAAGUCAAUCGAAAUUUGUAAUUUGAUGAUUUUUUCUUGUAAUCUUUCAGACUCAUGUAAUUGACACUUUAUGAAUAUAAGGCAUUUAUUUUUCAUCAUAUGUUGCAUCUUACAUUCAUAAUAAUUAUGAUGAAUCCCAUAAAUCAAGGAAAUAGUUUUAGGGUUAUAAUAAUAUCGUACCUAUGAGACCUAAAAUCCUAGAAAUCUUGAUUUAGAAUAUUCCUAGUCAUAGGAACAUUGAGUAGGAGAUUAAUAUUUCGGAUAUACUGGCACAUCCUAUGUAUGCUCGAUAAUGAGAGUGGCUGAUCUCAUAGGCCACUUGUGUAAGACACUAAUACAAGGAUAUGGAUGCUCAUUAGAGAAUGAGUUCACUGAAUUGAUCCGAUUUAAGAAACAUCUUAUGGAAUCGAUUUAUCCGUCAAAGAUAUUUUCUUAUAGUAGGAGUUGUGCAUGUAAUCUUUUGACUUGAGACUACCAUAGAACCUUGUAUACAUGAAUCCGUAUUUUGGUUCAUACUCAUUCAUGACUUAGUCAUGUACGAGGUGUUCUGGAUAUGGUGGAAUGUAUAUGGAGGUUGUGAGUAGGUCAACAUAGAAUCGAUCACUCCGGGUAAGAGGAGAUCGCAUCCUAUUUGCUCUAAUCGACUGAUGAUUUAGGGAGUUUUUGAUCAAUGCAGGAUGAAAAUUAGAAAGAAUUUCUAAUGUUUCAUUAAUCGAAUCUUCAUAAGAUUAAGAGAAAUAUAAAUAUGAUAUUGGAUUUGACAUUAUUCUAUAUCCAGAGUUAUAUUUAGGAUGCAGAUUGAUCGCAGGAUCGAAUUGCACGGUAACUUUCCACUAAAGAAUAUUUUUGGUAUUUCUACUAAAAUUUCAUAUCUUUCAGGUAGACAUGAUACGUUGCUAAACGUCAAUCUUGUCUUGUAGAUUUGAUCGAAUUAAAGAGUUCAAUUUGAUUGCCAAUUAGAAAGGGUUCUAAUUGCUGAAAUCGGAUUAGUUCGAUUGGAUCUAAAUCGAUUAGAUUAAAUUCUAAUCAAAUCAGGUCAACUUGUAUCUGGACUCAUUGCUGGCUAAAUAUGGAAUUCAAUGGAUCACAUACAAAAGAAAUUGAUCAAGGAUCUAAUUAGAUUAGAUCAUGUUUGCAAGAUGAACAUACUAGCACAUGUUGCAAAUCUUAGCUCAUUGUUUCGAAUCGGAUUCGAAUUUGGUUUCAGAUUAGGUUAAUUAAAUCCAAUUAAACUCAAACCAAAUUUGGGUUUGAGUUGGGUCAACCUUUUGCUGGUUGAACCAGGGAAUGGGCGCCACAAAACUAGCAUCCCACGCGCCAUAAAUUUUUUUAGCACGUGGGGUUUAUCUUGUGCGCAAAUAUCAAGUUGGUGUCCCAUCCCAUGGGACGCCCCUUUUCUCAACCUUAUCCUUUUGUUCCAUGGUGAAAAAAAUUCAUGAAGGUUUGUGAUCUGAUUUUAGGCACAGAGGAGUCCUUCUAUGGCUAAAUCACUUCAUGAGUUAGUGUUGGAAAUUGGAUAAAGAUCAAGCCUUAGUCAAACCUAAUCCAUGCGCCAUCUAGAGUCCAAGUUGUUUUGGUCUCUUAAAAAUGUUACACGCCAUUUUUUAUCUUUGAUUUUUCUCCAUGCCUAAAGCAAGUUAGCGCCUCUCUUGUGGGCCCUUGGAUGGCCAGCAUGUGCUGAUGAAGGGUGGAGAAAAAUGCCGUCCAAGAGAAGCCUCGCAGUGUCUCGAAAAACACCGAAAAAAAUUUCUCCGAAGAGUCUUUUUGCGUGAAACAACUCUUGAAUUUUUUCCCAAUAUUUGCCACAUCACAAGGUUUUCAGAUGGGCGUGUGAAAUUGGUUGGAGGCGUGAGAAUUUCUGGUUGGGCGCGAGUUGUCGCAUGGAGAGGGCGUGAGAUGUUUUUGAUGGCAUCCCAUCGCUAAGUAUAAAAAAGGCCCUACGUCGAGGUUCUGAUUCAUUCAGAUUUCUAUCUUUAUCUCUUCUUUCUUACACCUCUCUCCUUCUUGUCCAAUUAUUCCCUUCCUUCCCUUGUUAGGACAAGUCCUAAAAUAGUAAGGACAAGUCUGAUUUUAGGACAAGGGCCUAGGAAGAGAUAUAAGGAAGACAAGGAGACAAGAAAGGUAGAGAUAGGAAGGCUAGGAGGAGAGAAAGGAAGUCCUGAGGUUUUGCUGUCCAAAGAAGUUCUCGGAGAGAAUUUUGAAGGAGGAAUCAUCUUAAGAAAUUAGUGUCUCGAUCAAAGCCCUGUGUGAAUUAAUUACUGUUGGAGGACGAACACUUGGGCGCCUGGUGGAGGUUCUACUGGAGUUUUGGAAUAAGCGUUGCAAGUAUUCUUCUAUACCUUCAAUUUUGUUAUGAAAAUAUUUUAUAUGAUUGUUAAUCAUCAAAGAGGUGCUGGUUUAAGGGUUUAACAUUUAGGAUUUCUUAGUUUAAAUUUUUGAAAUCCAUUAUGCUUUCGCUGUGCAUGUUGUCUGUGAAAUGC
rnacentral:lncRNA from 1 species